GCCACCUUAGCUCAGUUGGUAGAGCAACUGUUUCGUAAACAGUAGGUCGUGGGUUCAACUCCCGCAGGUGGCU
rnacentral:tRNA from 2 species